rnacentral:rRNA from 1 species
AGUGAACGCUGGCGGUAGGCCUAACACAUGCAAGUCGAACGGCAGCACAGUAAGAGCUUGCUCUUACGGGUGGCGAGUGGCGGACGGGUGAGGAAUACAUCGGAAUCUACUUUUUCGUGGGGGAUAACGUAGGGAAACUUACGCUAAUACCGCAUACGACCUACGGGUGAAAGCAGGGGAUCUUCGGACCUUGCGCGAUUGAAUGAGCCGAUGUCGGAUUAGCUAGUUGGCGGGGUAAAGGCCCACCAAGGCGACGAUCCGUAGCUGGUCUGGGAGGAUGAUCAGCCACACUGGAACUGAGGCACGGUCCAGACUCCUACGGGAGGCAGCAGUGGGGAAUAUUGGACAAUGGGCGCAAGCCUGAUCCAGCCAUACCGCGUGGGUGAAGAAGGCCUUCGGGUUGUAAAGCCCUUUUGUUGGGAAAGAAAAGCAGCAGGUUAAUACCCCGCUGUUCUGACGGUACCCAAAGAAUAAGCACCGGCUAACUUCGUG